GGGUUGUGAGGUUAAGCGACUAAGCGUACACGGUGGAUGCCCUGGCAGUCAGAGGCGAUGAAGGGCGUGCUAAUCUGCGAUAAGCGCCGGUAAGGUGAUAUGAACCGUUAUAACCGGCGAUACCCGAAUGGGGAAACCCAGUGUGAUUCGUCACACUAUCAUUAACUGAAUCCAUAGGUUAAUGAGGCGAACCGGGGGAACUGAAACAUCUAAGUACCCCGAGGAAAAGAAAUCAACCGAGAUUCCCCCAGUAGCGGCGAGCGAACGGGGAGGAGCCCAGAGCCUGAAUCAGCAUGUGUGUUAGUGGAAGCGUCUGGAAAGGCGCGCGAUACAGGGUGACAGCCCCGUACACAAAAGCGCAUGUGCUGUGAGCUCGAUGAGUAGGGCGGGACACGUGGUAUCCUGUCUGAAUAUGGGGGGACCAUCCUCCAAGGCUAAAUACUCCUGACUGACCGAUAGUGAACCAGUACCGUGAGGGAAAGGCGAAAAGAACCCCGGCGAGGGGAGUGAAAAAGAACCUGAAACCGUGUACGUACAAGCAGUGGGAGCCCCACCACCAAAGCAUUCUCUGGUGUUGAAGGCCCUGCAAAGCAGCAUCGCGGUGGCGGAGCGUCGUUUGCGACGCCCAACACACAAAACAAGCGGUGAAUGCUUUGGGGUGGGGUGACUGCGUACCUUUUGUAUAAUGGGUCAGCGACUUAUAUUCUGUAGCAAGGUUAACCGAAUAGGGGAGCCGGAGGGAAACCGAGUCUUAAUUGGGCGUUAAGUUGCAGGGUAUAGACCCGAAACCCGGUGAUCUAGCCAUGGGCAGGUUGAAGGUUGGGUAACACUAACUGGAGGACCGAACCGACUAAUGUUGAAAAAUUAGCGGAUGACCUGUGGCUGGGGGUGAAAGGCCAAUCAAACCGGGAGAUAGCUGGUUCUCCCCGAAAGCUAUUUAGGUAGCGCCUCGUGAAUUCAUCUCCGGGGGUAGAGCACUGUUUCGGCUAGGGGGCCAUCCCGGCUUACCAACCCGAUGCAAACUGCGAAUACCGGAGAAUGUUAUCACGGGAGACACACGGCGGGUGCUAACGUCCGUCGUGAAGAGGGAAACAACCCAGACCGCCAGCUAAGGUCCCAAAGUCAUGGUUAAGUGGGAAACGAUGUGGGAAGGCCCAGACAGCCAGGAUGUUGGCUUAGAAGCAGCCAUCAUUUAAAGAAAGCGUAAUAGCUCACUGGUCGAGUCGGCCUGCGCGGAAGAUGUAACGGGGCUAAACCAUGCACCGAAGCUGCGGCAGCGAACGUAUCACCCAAGACAACUUUACGGAGUUGACGAUUGACGGAGCGAAGCGACGUCAAAGCGUUCAUUAAAGUCGAGUUGGCUUAGGGAUACGUUCGUUGGGUAGGGGAGCGUUCUGUAAGCCUGUGAAGGUGUGUCGUGAGGCAUGCUGGAGGUAUCAGAAGUGCGAAUGCUGACAUAAGUAACGAUAAAGCGGGUGAAAAGCCCGCUCGCCGGAAGACCAAGGGUUCCUGUCCAACGUUAAUCGGGGCAGGGUGAGUCGACCCCUAAGGCGAGGCCGAAAGGCGUAGUCGAUGGGAAACGGGUUAAUAUUCCCGUACUUGGUGUUACUGCGAAGGGGGGACGGAGAAGGCUAUGUUGGCCGGGCGACGGUUGUCCCGGUUUAAGCGUGUAGGUGUGUGUUCCAGGUAAAUCCGGUUCACUUUAACACUGAGGCGUGACGACGAGGCACUACGGUGCUGAAGCAACAAAUGCCCUGCUUCCAGGAAAAGCCUCUAAGCAUCAGGUAACACGAAAUCGUACCCCAAACCGACACAGGUGGUCAGGUAGAGAAUACCAAGGCGCUUGAGAGAACUCGGGUGAAGGAACUAGGCAAAAUGGUGCCGUAACUUCGGGAGAAGGCACGCUGACACGUAGGUGAAGUGAUUUACUCAUGGAGCUGAAGUCAGUCGAAGAUACCAGCUGGCUGCAACUGUUUAUUAAAAACACAGCACUGUGCAAACACGAAAGUGGACGUAUACGGUGUGACGCCUGCCCGGUGCCGGAAGGUUAAUUGAUGGGGUCAGCGUAAGCGAAGCUCCUGAUCGAAGCCCCGGUAAACGGCGGCCGUAACUAUAACGGUCCUAAGGUAGCGAAAUUCCUUGUCGGGUAAGUUCCGACCUGCACGAAUGGCGUAAUGAUGGCCAGGCUGUCUCCACCCGAGACUCAGUGAAAUUGAACUCGCUGUGAAGAUGCAGUGUACCCGCGGCAAGACGGAAAGACCCCGUGAACCUUUACUAUAGCUUGACACUGAACAUUGAGCCUUGAUGUGUAGGAUAGGUGGGAGGCUUUGAAGUGUGGACGCCAGUCUGCAUGGAGCCGACCUUGAAAUACCACCCUUUAAUGUUUGAUGUUCUAACGUGGACCCGUAAUCCGGGUUGCGGACAGUGUCUGGUGGGUAGUUUGACUGGGGCGGUCUCCUCCUAAAGAGUAACGGAGGAGCACGAAGGUUGGCUAAUCCUGGUCGGACAUCAGGAGGUUAGUGCAAUGGCAUAAGCCAGCUUGACUGCGAGCGUGACGGCGCGAGCAGGUGCGAAAGCAGGUCAUAGUGAUCCGGUGGUUCUGAAUGGAAGGGCCAUCGCUCAACGGAUAAAAGGUACUCCGGGGAUAACAGGCUGAUACCGCCCAAGAGUUCAUAUCGACGGCGGUGUUUGGCACCUCGAUGUCGGCUCAUCACAUCCUGGGGCUGAAGUAGGUCCCAAGGGUAUGGCUGUUCGCCAUUUAAAGUGGUACGCGAGCUGGGUUUAGAACGUCGUGAGACAGUUCGGUCCCUAUCUGCCGUGGGCGCUGGAGAACUGAGGGGGGCUGCUCCUAGUACGAGAGGACCGGAGUGGACGCAUCACUGGUGUUCGGGUUGUCAUGCCAAUGGCACUGCCCGGUAGCUAAAUGCGGAAGAGAUAAGUGCUGAAAGCAUCUAAGCACGAAACUUGCCCCGAGAUGAGUUCUCCCUGAGACUUAGAGUCUCCUGAAGGAACGUUGAAGACGACGACGUUGAUAGGCCGGGUGUGUAAGCGCAGCGAUGCGUUGAGCUAACCGGUACUAAUGAACCGUGAGGCUUAACCUUACAACGCCGAAG
rnacentral:rRNA from 3 species